UCUCUUUUCUGGUCUUAAUAUAAUUAUUUUUGAUAAUAAAUAGAUUACAUAAAUCAUACUAUAUAAAUGCAUCAAUAUUAGCAUGUAUACUAAUUUCAGUAAAAUAUGAUAUACACACCUGCACCACUUUGAAUAUGAAAAAAAGCACCACAGUCACUUCAGUCAUUUACCACCACACAAUUAACAUGAAUAGGCAGCAGCACAUUCACGUUAACUUAUCUAAUACUUUACCUUGUAAGGUAGCCGUUUAUAUUGCGUCGUUUUUUCCAUAACAGACAUCUGAGGGAGAUGUUUCCAGAUAUGUAGCUAACGUUUCCAAGGGUGUCCUAGCAAAAGUCAGAUAUCCAACUUUUAGCUAACCUAGGUAGUUGGCUAGCUCACAGAGGUAGCAGAGCUUACAAGGACAUUUGACAUUAGUGAGCUAGGCUAACCAACUAGUUAGUAUAAUCUUACAUUAUGUUUUAUGAUUAACUCAUGAAAGCUAAUAGAGUUAACUUGGUAAUUUUCGCAUAUACUGGACCUCUGAGCUUCAGAAAGCACUGUUCUCCAUUCAGGUCCGUUAACGGACGUUCCCGCUUUCUCGGGGGAAGAAGGGCCUAAUCGAUCCGUAGUACUACGUCCGUAGUGUCUACAUCCGCUGUUAACAUAAUGGGCUAUAAAUUUAUUUAAAUUUACUAACAAACUUUAAAACAUAAGGCAGUUACAGUACUCUUGCAACAUAAACCCCUUAUUUCGGUGUUGUAUCCAUUUAAUGCAUUACCCACUUGAUUUACAACGUACCACCCUUUCCUACUGAUGUAACCUUCCGCCACUGCAGCCAUCUUUCUCGGGGUCUGCUGUGUACAUCUAGAAACGCUCGAAUGCGCCCGAGAUAAAGAUGUUUCGAGGAUUUUGAUGUACCCAGCAUUCAUUCAGCACUUGAGGCACGCGAACCCAGCACAACAAGCAUACCAGGUUCUGUUAGUGAUGCUGGCUGCUCGGCCGCCGAAAACGCCCCAGGUCACGCCGCUCCAGCUCCAUCAACUUCUACUGAAGACGCAGCACUUACUACCCAGGCGGAACAGCAUGAAGCACUACUUGAAUCGACACAACUGGGAGUAAGUGCUAUACAUGAAGAGCCUGAUGUGAAUCUACUGAGGAAACAUGCCGCUGCCUUUGUGCUUUCUGCUAGAGAGAAACACCGUUUAUCACAGAGUGCAGUCAAUGAUAUUGUAGCUGUGUGCAGCACUACCAAGCUUCACUGCUCGACAGUUUGAAGAAUCAGAUGGCACGAGUAUUUCAGAGGCAUUCAGAAGUUACAGUUCAGCUGCUUAGUGAGUCAAUGGACAUUUUUGAUAAUUUUGAAGACCCAUUUGCCAGAGUUUCCACUACAUAUAUGCAAGACUCAACUGCCAAGGAGCUGUUUGGGGUAGUUGAAGCACAAGAAAUUAAGAUUGCCCAGUCUGCAUGCUAUAAAGGACAAGGACCCUCUCGUGCUCCUGCUAUUAGAUCUGAGUGCAUUUACUACAUACCUUUGAUCAAAAGUUUGGAGCAGUUGCUUUCACAUCCUGCGGUUCUGUCCAUGUUUGAUAAAGAUGUAGAGACAUGCAGGGCUGGAUUUUUAAAGGACAUCAUUGAUGGUGAUAUUUUGAAAUCACAUCCAUUGUUUUCUGUUAGACCCAAUGCCCUACAGCUGAUACUGUAUACUGACAAAAUAGAACUGUGUAAUCCCCUGAGGUCACAUGCCUCAAAAAACAAACGUCUAAUGGUGUACUAUAUUUUAGGGAAUAUAAAUCCUAAAUAUAGGUCUAAGCUGGCUGAUAUCCAUCUACUUGCUAUUGCAAAAGCAACUGAUAUUGCUCAGUGUAGCGUUGAUGUGAUAGUGAAUAGAAUACAGGAAGAUCUGAAUUUGCUGUACAAUGAGAGAGAAUCAGAACAGUGGUGGGUGAGAGAAUUGAAUAUGGAACAUUAGUCUCUUUUUGCGGUGACACCUUGGCUCAGCAUGAGGUUACAGGUUUUAAAGAGGGAGCUGGAUUUUCAUUCUGUAAAUGCAGACACUGUGAGUGCAGUUUUGAAGACAUGCAGCUUUACUUUGAUGAGGACAACUUUGUUCAACGGACAUUAGGUAGGCACAUCAGACGGUGUAAUGAAAGUGAGAGGGCCUCUACAAAUUUUUUAAGAAACAUUUUGAAAACCACGUACGGAAUUAACAGGAAAAACAAAUUAGUAGACUUUGCUUUUACAAGUGAGUAUUUUGACCAUAUUAACAUUUUAAGGCAUAUUUUCUAACUCCAAGCUGGAUAAAUUUGAAUGCUUAAUGGAUUUAAGUAUAGCAGGUGAUGUGUA